GAGAGAGAGAGAGCAGGCAGAUAAUGAGAGGAGACAAGUAGAAGGAGAAUUAAAGAAAUAUGAUUAAAAAAGAGCAAGGAAGGGAGGAAAGAAAGAGAGGAGGAAGAGAUAGGGAGAGAAGAAUGAGGCGAAGAAGAGGGGAAGAAGAAAGAGAGUGAGGGAAGAAGGGAAGGAAGGAAAAAGUAUGGAGGGAGAAACACGGGUAUAAAUCGAAGAGAGAGAGAGAGAGAGAGAGAGAGAGAGAAUAACUAGUGUGUGUGUGUGUGUGUGUGUGUGUGUGUGUGUGUGUGUGCUUCUCCUAACCUCAUCUCUAUAAAACGUUUCACAAAAUUCAAGUUUCCUAAGACAGUGAGACGCUCCUGCUUCUAACGCCUUGAGCGGGCCGGGCAAUUUUCAACCUGAUGCCGAGGUGACACACGGGCGAAAUUAGACUAACGUAGCUGGCUGUGGUGGUGGUGGCGGUGGUGGUGGUGGUGUUUGCUUUAUAGUGAAGAAACGAGAAUGCAACGACAACAACAACAACGACUGCAACAACAACAACUAUUACUAAAACCACAAAACCCCAAACAACCACAAUUUUUAACUACCAUUUUCUCCAUAACAAUAAAAUCAACAACAAUUAUACAACAUGGAGAGACUUGGAUACCUACAACAACUACAACAACAACAACAACUACUACAACACAAGCUGGCGUUGUUCAGGUGGCUGGAGUCGGAGGAGACGAAGAUUCAUAACGCGCACGCACUGGUCGACAACUUCCGCCCUGUGCAGCCCCUGAACGCGCGGGAGGUUCGAGGCCGCGACAAGCUGGUGCCCCGGACGAUAGUAGCCUGUUCCCCUUUCUGAGACUCCCCGCGUACCCCCCUCCACCCACCCACCCACACACACACACACACACACUCACACACAUAUACACUCCCCCUCCACAAUAUAUAAGUCUUCCCUCCAACGCACAUUCUCAUACUAAUACAUACAGAGUCAUAUUUGUAUCCCCCUCCCACUCUCUUACAUAUAUGUCAACACAAACACAUGCAUACACACACGUACUCACACACAUAUAUAACCCUCUCCACACACACACACACACACACUCACACUGAUACAUAUCCACACAAACAAACACAUACCCAUACGCACAUACCUACACACACAUACCCACACAGUCACAAAUACACAUACCCACACACUUAUACAUAUGCACUAAUCCAUAUACAUAUACCAAUCCAUAUACUACAGAAGAACUAACAUACCCAGCAAUCCACAUACUUAUCCACAUAUUAGCAUGCCCAUAUACGCACUCAUAUCCACAAACCCACACACAUACACACACACACACAUAUAAACCCACACACAUAUCCAUUGGUCCACUAAUAUACCCAUACACAUAGGCCUACACAUUCACUAAUCCACAUACAUACUUAGGCUACAUAUUCACAUCCCCCCCCCCCCCCAACAUAUCCACUGUUCCACAAAUACACAUACACACACAUACACAGAUAUCCAUUUACCUAAACACAUACCCAACCUCCAUACCAAAAUACAUGUCUUAUACCCUGUUCACGUUAACCUCGCAAUUUAGCCCCGCCCCCUUCACCAUAGGCUAGUCUACCACCAAGCCACGCCCCUUUCCUGUUAUGUGUUUAUCAUUGGCUAGUUAAUCACCAAGCCACGCCCCCUUCACCAUUACUGCUUAUCAUUGGCUAGCCUACCAUCAAGCCACGCCCCUACUUCAACCAAGGCUGCAUUCAUUGGCUAAAGGGAAGCUAAGGGUAUUAUAAGCUACUCAGAACCCUUUCAGCAUAUUCUUACAUUCGAUCGGUAAUUCCUCAGCCCCCAUUAGAUUUAAGAAACCCUCCAUUAUAUUUUUAUACAUCAAUGGAAAUAUCUUAAGGGGAGUAUCAAGAUACCUUUCUACCCAAAUUUGACCUUUCUUUUAGCCACUCUUUUCUACUGUCAUUUAUAGGAGAAGGCCUUGGCGGGCUUUUUCGUUUUCAUAUGUUGUUUGCCCUGGAGCUGCUGCCUUUACUGCAAUAAUGAAAGAUAAUAAAACAGAAAAGGAAACCCGCUAAGCGCUGUUCUAGCAAAGAAGUCUAUGGCAAAGACUAUAGGAUGAGUGUCAAAAAGGAAGGUUAGUUUUAAAUGGAGAAGUUUCUUGAUUCUCGCGUCUUGAAACACCCUUCAGUUAGUCUUAGGGUUGCCACAGGUUGCCUUCACAUCUUCCUCUAUUCAGGGUACCAUGGAAAAUAGGCUCCUCCCACUUAUUCUCCUUUAAGUGUUCAUUGGCUGGUUCUCAAGCUAGCCACGCCCCCUUACUAUUAUUAUUAUUAUUAUUAUUAUUAUUAUUAUUAUUAUUAUUAUUAUUAUUAUUAUUAUUAUUAUUAUUAUUAGCAGCACAAGAUUAUAUUAUUUUCUCUACUUUAGUUAUAUUAUGUAUUAGUUCACAAGUCAGGUUAUGUGUGUUUACUUAUUUCAUUUCUCUCUUUGUGGUUCUCUCGUUUUCUUUUUUGUUUCUUUCUUUUCCUCUCGUUUUCUUUCACUUAUUUGGUUUCUUUACUGCUCGUAUUUUUCACUUCUCUCUAUUUUUUCUCUAUAUUUUGUCAUUUUUCUAUUGUUUUCUAUUUUCAUUUUCUUUCACUUGUCUUUAAUUCAUUCCGCGCUGACUUUUAUUCAAUUUACUUUCUUGUCUUUUCCACUUUUCUCCGGUUUCUUUCUUUUCAUAUCCUAUCGUCGUAAUUCCUUUCUCUGUCUCACAUUCCUUUCCUUUCCUUCCUUAUAAGAUAUAUAUUUCAUCCCGUCCGUCUACUCUCAUUCUUUCUCCUCUUCAUUUUUUCUCUUCUCAUCAAGUUUUUGUUUUCCUCCUCAUGUUCCUUCUCCUCCUCCUUUCUGCUUCUUUUUCUUCUAAUUCCUUUGUUUUCCUUGUUCUCCUCCUACUUUUCCUCCUCCUCCUCCUCCUCCUCCUCCUCCUCCUCCUCCUCCUCUUUCUCCUCCUCCUCCCUACAAUCCGUGCAAUAUACCUUAAUUUAUUUGUAAGCUUAGAUAGAAUUAGAACAUAAAUUAUUCAGCAAAUGGAGUGUGUUUUUCAAUGACCUCUGUAAAUUAAACUAGAUAUUAUCGCGUGCGUGUAAACCAUUUAAAUAAUAUAUAAAAAUAAUAAUAAUAAAUCCUUCUGAGCUCUGACCAAAAAAAUGUAUUGAAAUUCUAAAAAUGUAAUUUCUUCCAUAUUUAUUUCUGUCUCUGAAUAAAGUUUUCUUCCUGUUUGUGUGUGUGUGUGUGUGUGUGUGUGUGUGUGUGUGUGUGUGUGUGUGUGUGUGUGUGUUUGGCAGUGAAUCUUAAAACGUUUUGCUCGUGUUUUAAAUUUGCUUGGUUUAAUUUCUUAGAGGAUUCAUAUUUGUCUGGUUUCUCCUCCUUCUGUGUGUGUGUGUGUGUGUGUGUGUGUGUGUGUGUGUGUGUGUGUGUGUGUGUGUGUGUUGAUUUACAUAGAUUUACAUAGAAAAUCAGACCACUCAGACCCCAUGGUCCAGACUAGGUGGUCUGUCCUUAAACCUAAGUGAUUUUACAUUAAUCAGAUGGCUCCAAAACGUUGCUUUUCUACUCUAGUUAAUAUAAGUUCAAGGAAGUGACGGUCGAGCUUGUUUUUAAAGGAGUCAAUCGUGUUACACUGGACCACUGACGGUGGGAGCUUAUUCCAUUCUCGCACUGCAACGUUGGUGAAGAAGAAUUUGGUGCAGUCUGAAUUUACUUGUCUACAUUUAAGUUGUGUGCCAUUGUUCCUCGUUCGCAGUGUCAUCGAUCAUAAAUAAUUUUGUUCUUUUUAUUUUUUAUUUUUUAUUUUUCAACUAACAGACAGACAGACAGAUACACAGAGAUACAGUAGCAGAGAGUAAACGUAUAAACAAAUCAAAGACAGACAGACAGACAGACAGAAAGAAAGAAUUAAAGAACAAAAAAAAAAAAAAGAAGAA